ACUUGCCCUAUCUCACAGCCUCCCACGAUAGCACCUUUGGAUUUCCUUCCCUUCUUUCUUAGAUUUCUUUUGCCCCAAAUUGCUUGCUCACUUAUUGGUUCGGACGCAAAAAAAAACGCUGUCUUAUUGGUUUGGUCGAUCGCUACAGCUGGCCUGUAACAUGCAUCAUUUGACUUUAUACACUGCACGUGGGACCGAUACAUGGCAUGGCCCACUUGUCAUUGUCGUUGUGUGUCCUAUUUCCGGUAGCUGUUCUUGGCAUCGGGCGCGCUGCGCGCUCCUAGUGGAGCAGCCUGGCAAUGUCCUUUUGCUCGGUUCCUUGUGCUGACACGAGUGUAGCCUUCUCUUGGCUUCUACAUGUAGGCCCGGUUAGAUCCUAGCCCCGCCUGUCUGUGUCAUUUUGCCUUGGAAAAAAGGUCACUAUAUCUACUUUGUUGCGCGUCUGCACAAUCUUAUAGGCUUUUCUCUGCCCCUCUUCUGUCCUAGACCCACCCGAUUGUCCUCUCUUUUUACCUUCGUCUUCCUCGAGCUGAGCCGCUCAGAUACUGCAGCCGCGUCGCUGCGCCGUCUCCUGUCCGCCGUUGUUUCGUGAGCCAUGGAAGGAUUGGGUUGAGGUGCUGCAGAGCUUGUUCGUCAUCUGGAUUGAUGGUCCCUGCUUCAUUCGCCCGUCGUUCUUGAGAUUGGUUCCGUCCGUCUAUUUGUCCGUCCACCACAUGGCUUCGACGCUCUCGCUAUUUCUGCCGAGGGAUUGGCACGUGAGGACUUGGGAUAUCAAUGCAAGGAAGGCAGCUCGAAGUGACCAUGGGACUCAUAACAAACAUGUUGUGAUGCUAUAUGUACGCAAAAUAUUUUUCGGGUUUAAUAUGAUGUAAAGGUGGCAGCUCUACCGCGGCGCGGCUGCUAAGGUGACUGCUAGCUAGGUCUUAGCUGGUGGUAGCAUCUCGGGUGGUGUUGGUGGUUGGUGCCUCUGGGUGGAACAUGGAAGGGCAGGUUGUUCUCCGAAUGAUGUCGUUGUUCACCGAGUAUUGGAGGCCAAGGAAUUUGCAGCUUUGUGUAGAUAUGCUGUUCUACAGGUUGCUAGACAUAUUAGACAUACAUAUACAUGCUAAGACCUACAGCCAGGGUGGUCAACUAUCUGUUUUUAAGGAGGAUGCCCGACUAGCAUGUCCACAACCUUGACAUGUUGCUAUUUCAUAUUUGCUGAUCUUUUAUUUAUAUAUCUUUAGAUAUGGAUGUGCUUUACCAGUGUCAGCUUUUGUAAAUAAUUAGUAUAUCAGAAAGAGGCACUGCCAGGUUGGUGAUUGGAUGGGAUUGGAAUGCAGAAGACCAGCGAGGAGGCGCCCCAUGGGGCGCCCCAACCACUAGUUAGUGUUAAUUGUGUAUGCUUAUGGGAGCGCGCCAAUUAAACGCCUUCAGUACGACCACUCACUGCUCACCUGCCUGGUGGAUCGAUGGAGGCUCGAGACACACACGUUCCACUUUUGUUGGGGAGAGAUGGCUCCUACUCUCCAGGACGUGUCGUUCUUACUGGGAUUACCGUUGGAGGGGCACCCCAUAGGGCCGCUGGAGGAGCCCGCAGAUUGGGAACAACAGAUGGCCCUUCAUUUCCAGGGCCUUCGUGACAAUCAACCGGCCUUUUCAUUUUGGGCAAUUCGACGAACCGACGACAGAGCCACUGAUACGUCUCAAACGUAUCUAUAAUUUUUGAUGCUCCAUGCUUGUUUUACAUUAAUUUCUAUAUGUUUUGUUUACACUUCGUGGCAUUUUAUGUAUUUUCCGACACUAACCUAUUGACAAGAUGCCACAGUGCCAGUUCCCUGUUUUCUGCUGUUUUUAUUUCAGAAAAGUUAUAUAGGAAAUAUUCUCAGAAUUGGACGAAACAAAAGCCAAAGUUCCAAUUUUUCCCAGAGCGAAGACGAAGUCUAGAGAAGAUACGAAGGGGGGCCACAGGGUGGCCAGACCUAUCCUAGGCGCGGCCUGGCCCUGGCCCAUGCCUAGGGGUGGUCUGGGGCCACCAAGCCUCCAUCGACCUCGCCCUUCCGCCUAUAUAAAGCUCCCAACGCAAAAACCCUAAAUAUACCAGCCUCCGCCCACGAAAAGUUCCGUAGCUCCACCAUCGCCGCAGACAAGAUCCAGGGAUAGAAGUCUCUAUUCCGGCACCCUGUCGGGACGGGUAAUUUCCCCCAGAGCCAUCUCCAUCGACUCCACUGCCAUCUCCGUCGCCGUUGCUGACUCCCAUGAUGAGGAGGGAGUAGUUCUCCCCCGGGGCUGAGGGCUCUACCGGUAGCUAUGUGGUUUAUCUCUCUCUCUCUCUCUCCCAUGGUGUGAUCUUUAUGUGACCAUGAG